UUCACAAUGUAUGUCAUUCACUUUCUCUCCCAAUCGAUCAAUUUUUCUGUCUCUUGAUCAUUUUUUUUCCCAAAAGCUUUGAAUUCAUCAAUUUAUUUGAAGUUAGGGUUCAGUGAGAGCCAUGGAAAUGUAGACUACGAAGCCAAAUGCAUUCUCAAUCAAUUGAUCUCAAACCCUAAUUGAUCUCUACACACUCCUCUGUAUCGAACGAUUCGACCUCUGUGCAGUCUCCUCUCUGAUCGCGAACUUGAACCGGUUGAAGUAAUUCAUCGAUGAUUGCAAGUCCAAUCCCUCAAUCCUCUCCGAUCUUUCUCUCUUUUUCUUCCGAGAUUACCUUGAAAGAUAAGAGACUGUUCUAUCGAGGUCAUGGAAGAAAACCGUGAUGCUUCGAAGGAGGCUAAGGUGCAGGGGAAACUGGAGGAAGCAAUAGAACAGCUCACACAGGCUAUUUUGCUCAAUCCAACCUCAGCAAUUAUGUAUUCAGGUUCUUUCAUCGCGAUCGUUUCAGCCGAAGUCUUCUUCGAAGAAUGUUAUCACGGUACCUUCUCUCUCUCUAGCUCUUAUUUUUUGAUUCUUACUUGUUGAUUUUCGCUUGCAUUUCGAGAUUCCUAUGGUUUUUGGUGGUUUAGUGGAGUGAAUUGAUGUUGAAUUUGAUCUUCCUCACCGAGAUUCCUAUGAUUUUUCUAUUCAAUUUUUAAUUUGUUGUUAAAUUGUUUAAUUUGUUCCAGUGAGCCUUAUUGUGUUGAUGUGUACAUUCUUUAUCCUUUUUAGUUUUUUAAUUUUGUGUAUUUACACUUACUUUUCUACUGAUGCAGUGAUGCACGAGAAAGAGUAGCAUUACUUCUGAUAUCCAUUGUCAGUAUUAAGUGGAUGACCAUUAUUCUCUCUCACUCUCUGUUUUUCUUUGUUCUUCAAAAUGUGUAGGUAACAAUAGAUCAAAAUUCAAGUAGUUUAAAAAUUUAUCUUUCAAACGGAUCUUCUUUGGGAGGGUUUUUUUUCCCUUCCUGAUGUGCUAAUGGAGCUCUCCUUUCUGCUUUGUUCUCUGGCUGCUUGUGAGCUUUGUUGCCUUUGUUCCCAAAAAAGAUUAUCAUUGAAAUCAUGUUUCAUGAAAAAAUCCCGGUUUGAAAAAUAAGUUUAAAAAUUUGCUGGACUUUCGAAAUUUAUUUUAAAAUAACCUGUAUUUUAAAAUAACACCUUCCUUCCUUCCUUUCUUCCCAUUUGGAAGUUGAUUGAAUGAAUCUUAUUUUGACAUUGUUUCUUGUUGUUGCAUACCAUGGAUAAAUUCAAUCUUUGGCACUUGCAAAGUGUAUAAUUUCAUGUUCUUGUUGCACACUAUUGAUUCAUUGAGAAUUUUUCUGUUCUGGGUUUUUGGGUUUUGUUGAAAUUAAUCCACUUUCUUUGUGUUUUGAAUUGGACCAAUUUUUGGUUAAAUCGGUUGUCAUUUUUCCUUGUGUUGGCUUUGGUUAAUGCUACUAUUGAAUUUUCAUCAAUUGUAUUCAUUUCUGGCAUUGAGACAAGGAGACCAAUUCAACUAAUUAUAGUCCUCAUUUUUUUGUUAGAGAUGAUGUUUUAUUGCUUCACUGGGGAUAAGGAAUCAGAAUGUGAUGAAUUAUGUAUUAGUUGAAUCCCAUCUCUCCUUUCCAGUCCAUCGGGAAUCAUGGUUUCUGCUAAACCCUAAAUCCUCUUGAUGUUAAGCCUUUUGUCAUUUCCAUAUAUCUCUUCGACACUAACCCAAUCAUUUCUCUACCAGUUAUAGUUCCUUAAUUAUCGUCCUUGACUUUAAUGUGUCUACUUGAACACCAUUAUCUCCUCCCCUGUAACCUACUAAAAUGUUUAUUGUAUCUUAAGUUCGACUUGAUAAUGUGGAUUUUUUAUGUGUCUUAGAUAAUGCAAGUUUGAGGUGAACUUUGUUUUUGGUUGAUUGCAUUCUGCAGUAAGAAACUCAUGAAUUUUGAUUUAUUGCAUUGAAUUUCUGACCAAUUUCUUACUUUAUAUUUACUUGCUGGAAUUCAUGAAAUGAAGUUUGUUCUUGAAAAAUAAAAUUUAAUGCUAGUCUAUUUAAUGGAUUUCUAUUAGAGCAUGUUUAGUCCGUCUUUGUUGUUAGUAAUUAUGGCUGUGUUUAUCUUUGAAUUUUGAUAGACAAAUUACCUCUUUCUCGCAGCAUUGUCACAGUACUUAUUAUUUAUUUCUUUUGCAUCUUAGUUUAUAUUUCAUAUUGUAUAUCAUGUCCAUGAGUUAGGAGUUGGGGAUUUUUUAUUGGAAAUUAUGAGUAUGCAACAUUAUUUUGUUAGAGAUGUUAUGUAAUGCAUAUCAUGUGUGAAUAGUGAAUAUGAAUCUGCCUUCUACACAUGUUUAGUGCUUGUAAAACUCAAAUAAAGUGAAACCAUGAAGGGUAAUGGGUGAAAUUAGUUACAGUGAUUUGGUCUUUAAUUCAAAAUUUGAAAGAAAUGAUUUACUGAGUUGAAAUGUAUUGGUUAAUUUGGUGAAGGUUUGAUUCAUCAAGUUUUUAACUACUCAAGGGUCUAUUUGGGGUUGGGUGAAGAAGAUCAAGUGCCGAUGACACCAAAAUCGAUUGUGUUUUGUAGUGGAACUGGUUUUGGUUGAAGGUUCUAGAGGGGGUUUCUUGGUGGUUUUGUCCAUAACAACCAUAUGAAGUCUCUGCAUACAACAAUCCUCACCAUUUGUUAGUAAUAUAUUUGUUGGGUUUGGUGGUUUUGAGGAGUACAUUCAGAUUUAGAUGGAGUUUGUAGGGCAAAGUGAGGGUAUUAUGGUGUUUUUGGUUGGGAAGGAAGUGCAAGAAGCCUUUGAGACAUUUAGUGUUGAGCUAUUGUGGUAAUAGCUUUUGUGGUUACAAAUUUUAGGUGAUAUUAUCAUUUCAGAAAUGAGGUUCUCUUCUGCUGGUUUCACUCAGCAGUCUCCUGAAGGUAUAUUUCUCUGGGUUCUUUUUUUGUUGUUGUUGAAUUUCAGUCUUUUUCCCUGUUUUCCUGGUUUGGAGAUCUUUUAGUGUCUAGUUCAGCUGCAA